GAGUAAUACAUAAGUAACCUGCCCUAGACAGGGGGAUAACUAUUGGAAACGAUAGCUAAGACCGCAUAGGUACGGACACUGCAUGGUGACCGUAUUAAAAGUGCCUCAAAGCACUGGUAGAGGAUGGACUUAUGGCGCAUUAGCUGGUUGGCGGGGUAACGGGCCCACCAAGGCGACGAUGCGUAGCCGACCUGAGAGGGUGACCGGCCACACUGGGACUGAGACACGGCCCAGACUCCUACGGGAGGCAGCAUG
rnacentral:rRNA from 1 species